UUGAAAGGGAAAUUAAUCCCAUCUUCUAAAAUGCUGCGCAGCAACACGAACCAAAUUAAAACAGUAAUAAAAUAUUUUGCGAAAUUUAAAAGAAAUAAAAAGACAAUUUUAUAGCACUGUAAAAACAAAAGGGACCAAUUGCGCAAAUUAUCCACUUGAUGCCCUAUAUAAGCCUAUUUUAAAACCCUAAAACACCACUCCUCUGCCAUUUCAAGUGUUUGCGCCGCAGCCUCCCUUUCUCUGCCGUUCUCCCAACUCCGAACAGAUAACGACGAAUGAGGGCGCCCAACGACGGUGCGUACUAGAGGAGACAUGUGCGACGUGCGCGCGGAGGGCUGAACGUGGGCGGUUACUGCGACGUGUGUGGGGUGCGACUGCUGAUUGCUGCGAUGUGGGGCGUGCACGACGUUAGGGUAGCUACUGUUAACCACUGUUUAGGGUUAGACUGGGAUUUGGGCCUUAUUGGGCCAAAUGUAAUUGGAUUAGAUUGAUUAAUUUGGGCCCCGGGCAUCAAUUGGGUAUUACAAUAGUACUACAAUAGCUUUAAGAGGUUGCUGCCAUUGUUGGAGUGCUUUUCUGGUGCCUGCAAUAGCCAACUUAACUGAGCUGUUCUUGGGCUUAUAUUCACGUACAUACAAAUACAUAUAGAAAUAUGACUUUUUGUGUA